AAUUUAAUAACGGAAACAGGUGCUUGCCGGAAGAUUAGUAGUUCCGGUUAGCUUAAUAGGGAAGUUCGGUGUAAAGCCGACGCGGUCCCGCCACUGUAACGGAAGAGUUCUUAGCAACGAUUGUCACUGGCAGAUUACUACUGCCGGGAAGACUGCUUAAGGAUGUUGACGCCGAUAGCCAGGAGACCUGCCUGUUUCGACAGCACUGC
rnacentral:ncRNA from 1 species